UCGCCGGGGCUGGCCGCUGGCUCCUCCUUGGUGCCGCCCGCCCUUUCACAGCCCCGCGCGCCCCCGACCCGCGCGCUGCGGCCUAGCUGCUCCCGGUGCUUCUGUCCCAGAGGCUCGACCUUUGUUUCUGCAGUGUCCGCGGGCCGCGCCUCGAUGUCCUCCUCUGCCCCUUUUCACUCAUUUGUCGCGCUCCUUUCCAAGUUACCAGGAACCCUCCUAGCUGUGCCUCGGCCCCUCUGAGCACCCACUGACUCUGCCCUCGCGGCUGUGCUCGAAUUAGCUUGGGUAUCUUGUAUGGCUCUGCCUUUUAAUUUCUAUGCAAAAUCUUUUCCAGGGCAAUGUUGUUUUGAUGACACACACCCCCUUUGUGAAAUCACGGUUUCCAAAUCUCUUCCUGUAACUAUCGGUAGUCAGAAGUAAAGAUUGAAGUAAAAAAGGAGACAGAGGAGGAAUUGUAGUUUUGCUUGGGUGUGCUUGUGGAAACCAGAGGACAACUGUGGGUGGCAUUCUUCCUCAGGUGCCAAACAACCUCACCCCUUCCUUGGAGUCUGGUCUCUCAACAGCCUCAGCUUGCUGAGUAGGCCAAGAAUGGCUGUUACUGCUGGAUGCUGUGCGGAAGUCCGAGGUCUGGGCUGCAGCCUGAGGCCAUGUUGAUGUCUGUGAUCUGAGCUGCAGCUGGGACUGUACUGCUGGUGGUGGCCUGCACUACCACCCGAGGCCAGGAAGACAUCCAGCUGGGAGUCCUUUUUGUGGUGUGUGCUGUCACCUAAGACCACGUGGAGGCCAUGAUCUGUGCCCCUGCUGGGAAGAGUAAGAGAGCUACUUUUGUGAUAUCAGUGACUGCAGAUGCAUAGCCGAGAGGGAGAAACAUGGAAGACUUUCGUGACAACACCCUGCAAAGUAACAGCUUAGACAAGAAGCUGCUGAAGAGAACACUUUCUAAAGUAUGAUGGGGAAGCUGAAGUGUAGGUCUCAACAAUUGGUGGCUUCUGGGGAGGGUGCGGGAGGGGAAGGACCCAGUUCUAUUUAGGGGCAGGCCACUGAGAGUUUGAUCAUACUCCAGUGAGGUAAACACAUAGGACUUUUUUUUUAAUCUGUUUUUUGUUUAAUAUUUAUUUUUGGGGGGGUGGUCUCAAAGGUAGUGGGGCUGGACGUGGAAGGACUGGGAAGUGAGUGUGAUUGGGAUAUAUAUGAUGUAUGUGUCCCAGAGAAUCAAUAAAAUGUUA
rnacentral:sRNA from 1 species